UACGUAGGGGGCAAGCGUUGGUCCGGAAUCAUUGGGCGUAAAGCGCGUGUAGGCGGCUAGGUAAGUCUGCUCUGAAAGCCCGGGGCUCAACCCCGGGAGGCGGGUGGAUACUGUCUAGCUCGAGUCCGGAAGAGGAGUGUGGAAUUCCUGGUGUAGCGGUGAAAUGCGCAGAUAUCAGGAGGAACACCAAUGGCGAAGGCAGCACUCUGGGACGUGACUGACGCUGAGACGCGAAAGCGUGGGGAGCAAACAGG
rnacentral:rRNA from 1 species